CACUUACAAGCUAGCCCAACAACCCAACACCAACAAGCCCUAUCAAUAACCCCUAAAACCCCACCCUGCCCCCACUAAAACAUUCUAUUCCCCCAGUAUGGGAGACAGAAAAG
rnacentral:rRNA from 1 species